rnacentral:other from 1 species
UUCCUCCUGCUGUGUUGGUUAAGGUCAAAGACUCUUUGAACCAAUAUUUGAAACAGGGUUGCUGCAGGUGCUGGCCGUUGUGCGCAUUCCUUUGCGAAUGAGCCUGAAGCUGGGGCGUGGCGACCGCCUUGAACCACUAGGUUCAGGAUGAUGGCCUGACGGCAUAUGCGGGAGGCCC